rnacentral:rRNA from 1 species
GAUGAACGCUGACAGAAUGCUUAACACAUGCAAGUCAACUUGAACUUCGGUUUGGGUGGCGGACGGGUGAGUAACGCGUAAAGAACUUGCCUCACAGAUAGGGACAACAUUUGGAAACGAAUGCUAAUACCUGAUAUUAUGAUUAUAUGGCAUCGUAUAAUUAUGAAAGCUAUAUGCGCUGUGAGAGAGCUUUGCGUCCCAUUGGCUAGUUGGAGAGGUAACGGCUCACCAAGGCGAUGAUGGGUAGCCGGCCUGAGAGGGUGAUCGGCCACAAGGGGACUGAGACACGGCCCUUACUCCUACGGGAGGCAACAGUGGGGAAUAUUGGACAAUGGACCAAGAGUCUGAUCCAGCAAUUCUGUGUGCACGAUGAAGUUUUUCGGAAUGUAAAGUGCUUUCAGUUGGGAAGAAAAAAAUGACGGUACCAACAGAAGAAGUGACGGCUAAAUACGUG